rnacentral:rRNA from 1 species
UACGGGGGGGGCAAGCGUUGUUCGGAAUUACUGGGCGUAAAGGGUUUGUAGGUGGCCAACUAAGUCAGACGUGAAAUCCCUCAGCUUAACUGGGGAACUGCGUCUGAUACUGGUUGGCUUGAGUGCAGGAGAGGAACGCGGGAAUUCCAGGUGUAGCGGUGAAAUGCGUAGAUAUCGGGAGGAACACCAGUGGCGAAGGCGGCGAUCUGGGAAGAUACUGACGCUGAGGUGCGAAAGCGUGGGGAGCAAACAGG